CGUAGGGGGCAAGCGUUACUCGGAUUCACUGGGCGUAAAGCGCGUGUAGGCGGCUGGCCAAGCGUGGUGUGAAAUCUCCGGGCUCAACCCGGAAACUGCAUCGCGAACUGGCCUGGCUGGAGUGCAGGAGAGGGAAGUGGAAUUCCCGGUGUAGCGGUGAAAUGCGUAGAUAUUGGGAGGAACACCAGUGGCGAAGGCGACUUCCUGGCCUGUAACUGACGCUGAGACGCGAAAGCGUGGGGAGCGAACCGGAUUAGAUACCCGGGUAGUCCACGCCCUAAACGUUGCGAACUAGGUGUUGGCGAGAUUGACCUCGUCAGUGCCGCAGCUAACGCAUUAAGUUCGCCGCCUGGGAAGUACGGCCGCAAGGUUA
rnacentral:rRNA from 1 species